CCUACGGGUGGCAGCAGUGAGGAAUAUUGGUCAAUGGACGAGAGUCUGAACCAGCCAAGUAGCGUGAAGGAUGACUGCCCUAUGGGUUGUAAACUUCUUUUAUAUGGGAAUAAAACGUUCCACGUGUGGGAUUUUGUAUGUACCAUAUGAAUAAGGAUCGGCUAACUCCGUGCCAGCAGCCGCGGUAAUACGGAGGAUCCGAGCGUUAUCCGGAGUUAUUGGGUUUAAAGGGAGCGUAGGUGGAUUGUUAAGUCAGUUGUGAAAGUUUGCGGCUCAACCGUAAAAUUGUAGUUGAAACUGGCAGUCUUGAGUACAGUAGAGGUGGGCGGAAUUCGUGGUGUAGCGGUGAAAUGCUUAGAUAUCACGAAGAACUCCGAUUGCGAAGGCAGUUCACUGGACUGCAACUGACACUGAGGCUCGAAAGUGUGGGUAUCAAACAGGAUUAGAUACCCGUGUAGUC
rnacentral:rRNA from 1 species